rnacentral:rRNA from 1 species
CCUACGGGAGGCUGCAGUGGGGAAUAUUGGGCAAUGGGCGCAAGCCUGACCCAGCAACGCCGCGUGAAGGACGAAGGUUUUCGGGUUGUAAACUUCUUUUGACAGGGAAGAGUAGAAGACGGUACCUGUCGAAUAAGCCACGGCUAACUACGUGCCAGCAGCUGCGGUAAUACGUAGGUGGCAAGCGUUGUCCGGAUUUACUGGGUGUAAAGGGCGUGUAGCCGGGUUGACAAGUCAGAUGUGAAAUCCUGCGGGUUAACCGCAGACCUGCAUUUGAAACUGUUGAUCUUGAGUACUGGAGAGGCAGGCGGAAGGCGUAGUGUAGCGGUGAAAUGCGUAGAUAUUAGGAAGAACACCAGUGGCGAAGGCAGUAUGCUGGACAGCAACUGACGGUGAGGCGCGAAAGCGUGGGGAGCGAACAGGAUUAGAUACCCCAGUAGUC